AAGAAGUGGUAUCAACAAAGAGUACUACACUCCUCUGCUCGCAACAGAAUACCCUAUACCACCAGGCUUGAAAUUUUGUGAUUGGAUAAUCUUGAACUACAUGGCCUACGGUUGGACUUAAGCGUAGUACACAAA